CAAUAGCGUAUAUUAAAGUUGUUGCAGUUAAAAAGCUCGUAGUUGGAUUUCGGGUGGGAAUGGCCGGUCCGCCGUUUCGGUGUGCACUUGCUACGCCCACCUUGCUGCCGGGGACGUGCUCUUGAGUUCACGCUCGGGACACGGAGUCGGCGAGGUUACUUUGAGUAAAUUAGAGUGUUCAAAGCAGGCCUACGCUCUGAAUACAUUAGCAUGGAAUAACACGAUAGGACUCUGGCCUAUCUUGUUGGUCUGUAGGACCGGAGUAAUGAUUAAGAGGGACAGUCGGGGGCACUCGUAUUUCAUUGUCAGAGGUGAAAUUCUUGGAUUUAUGAAAGACGAACUACUGCGAAAGCAUUUGCCAAGGAUGUUUUCAUUAA
rnacentral:rRNA from 1 species